rnacentral:rRNA from 1 species
UACAGAGACUGCAAGCGUUAUUCGGAUUCACUGGGCGUAAAGGGUGCGCAGGCGGCCAAGUGUGUGAGGCGUGAAAGCCCGGGGCUUAACCCCGGAAUUGCACCUCAAACUACAUGGCUAGAGCAUUGGAGAGGGUAGCGGAAUUCACGGUGUAGCAGUGAAAUGCGUAGAUAUCGUGAGGAACACCAGAGGCGAAGGCGGCUACCUGGACAAUUGCUGACGCUCAGGCACGAAAGCGUGGGGGAGCAA